rnacentral:lncRNA from 1 species
GGGCAUAACACAUUAUAUUUAAUUUUCUAGUCGUAAACCUAUCUUGUGCGGAUCAUGCAUAUCCUGCUACAAUGCGAUCAUCAGAUCUCAUGGUGUCUCUUGUCAAUUCCAUCAUUUAUGAAAAAGUCUAUCCGAGCAUAAUAAUAUGUUGAUACAAAUAAUUCAUAGUCAAUACGUAUACCAACUAAAAUCGUUGGAAUAGAAUCAUCCAAAAGAACAUAUCAAAGGCUCUUUUAAGAUAUUACAACAAUUCAAUAGAGAACAGUUUGAUUACAACAAAAUGGGUCUAGUCAUAUGCGUCAAUCCAAUGCUUCUCGAGUCUUCUAAUGACAUGGAAUGGAAACCCCUGUCAAUACCUGAAAAUCCAAAGCACACUUUCAGAGUAGUUGCGUAACAAAAUUUGAGGAUACAAGCAUAACCACACACAACGUGUUCUGGAAAUACAUGUUCAAGUGGGGGUGAACAUUAGAAUUUUCUGUUCAAAUGGUUUAAAACUCGAUGUUUUGCCAUGAAGAUGAAAGCUGUAGUAAUUUGAUGGGCAUCCAAAUGAUCAAUUAGAAGGGAUUAAUAGUGAAAGCAUGUUUAAAGAGUAAGCCACUAAGAAACUAACGCAGUCCAAAUCCAUUACCAAAUUAACAAUCCAAGUAAGAGCACAAAGUGUCUUGGUCCUUUCACUGGGUGUGCCCAUGCAUAAUAAUACUCACCAAUAACUUAGUUGAUUUGAAUUGAGGAGCUAGCAAUCAUGCUUAGGAAUGGAGUUGUUGGGAUCCUGGCAGAAUCAGUGAAAUAAAUGGUAAAGAAGGGCACCUUUAGCACCAUUACACUGUGCUAGAUUACUUCAGGGCAGAACAGGAGUUUCCAGAAUUAUUGUGCAGCCAUCCACUAAGAGAAUUCACCAUGAUUAUAAAGCAAACCAAAUCUAGAGAUGAUUUUACCGGAUAGAGCUUAUGCUUUCUUCUCCCAUACCCGUAAGGCACAGAAAGAGAAUAUGCCUUUACUGGAUAAGAUCCUAGCUGACAAACAACACAAACAGAAGCAUAUUAUAAACCAGUCAUAUGAGUAAUUCAAAGAGGAAAUGCAAACUAGAAGUCAUCACCAGUUGGCAUAUUCCUUUUCAGUUAUGUAUUCCAGUAAGCAUAAAAGGCAUUUCAGUAGGGAAUGUUCAGAAAAAGAUUCCAAAACAGCAAGGUUAGGCAGCAAUCCUGGUCAUGUUAAAUGAAGUAAUGAGUGGCAAAAUGAUUUAGUAAUCAUUGAGCAUUAUGUAAAAAUGAAAGAAUAAUCAGAGUAUGUAAAACAGCAAAAGUCAGAAAACAAAUACCAUUUGCCAGUAGUUACUAUUCGAAUCAUCAUUGAAAUUCAAGAUAUAUAGGAGUUACACAUACAGCAAACGUUACAAUCAGGAUAGACAUAUGGUAGCAAGCAUUCAAGAGUUGCAUAUGAAAAGCAUGAAUGAUUAGAAUUCCAGAUAGACAAAUACCAAACCAAAAGCCUUCAGUUAUACUUUCAUAAUAGGCAAUGAUGAGCCAGAUUAAGGGUAAAAGUAAAACAACAAUGCAAUGGGCAGCCUAAGGAUCAAUCAUCAGAAAACAUUGGUUGUUGGGACAUUUUUCAGUUAUGUGAUUGUCAUUAUCAGUAUGGUUUGAUGGCAUUCAUUGGCAGCUUCAAAUACAUUAAAACAGGAAAUGAAUAGGUCAC